UACGUAGGGUGCAAGCGUUGUCCGGAAUUAUUGGGCGUAAAGAGCUCGUAGGCGGUUUGUCGCGUCUGCUGUGAAAACGCGAGGCUCAACCUCGCGCCUGCAGUGGGUACGGGCAGACUAGAGUGCGGUAGGGGAGAUUGGAAUUCCCGGUGUAGCGGUGAAAUGCGCAGAUAUCGGGAGGAACACCGGUGGCGAAGGCGGUUCUCUGGGCCUUACCUGACGCUGAGGAGCGAAAGCGUGGGGAGCGAACAGG
rnacentral:rRNA from 1 species